UACGUAGGGUGCAAGCGUUGUCCGGAAUUAUUGGGCGUAAAGAGCUCGUAGGCGGUCUGUUGCGUCGGCUGUGAAAAUCCGAGGCUUAACCUCGGACCUGCAGUCGAUACGGGCAGACUAGAGUUCGGUAGGGGAGACUGGAAUUCCUGGUGUAGCGGUGAAAUGCGCAGAUAUCAGGAGGAACACCGGUGGCGAAGGCGGGUCUCUGGGCCGAUACUGACGCUGAGGAGCGAAAGCGUGGGGAGCGAACAGG
rnacentral:rRNA from 1 species